UUGGACUUAAAUAUGUUUGUUUUUCCUGUUGAGAAAGGUUCACAGCGAAGACCCUUCAGUCAGUGGGAAGUGACUGGGAGAUGUCUACAUGAAGAGCAAGGAGAGCGUGGAGCCCACAGCAGGUCGUAUCCGUCACUGAUGAAACUGCUAAACAGCUUUCAGCCUUAUGUUGGCAACACUAGAAAUCCUGAUUCCCUACUGGCAACUGCUUCUGCAGGAAAGGAGAUGCUGUGUUUGAAAGCUCCUUAUUCUGGAAAGGCUGGUUCUUAGGGGACAGGAUUAUUCAGCCUGUUGUUUCGCAAGUCGUUCCAUGAGUAUCAUCAACAGCAGCCAUGAAAGAAAAGAAAAGGGAACAUCCACGUGAAAACCUGAACUCCCUUCACUUUGAUCUCAGAAGAGCUGGCAAGAGUGAAGGCUUUGGCAAAGGUCACUGUCUGUCAGGGUCAACUACAAAACAGCAGUCUGUGUGGAAAGGACACUUGCAAUCUGCCCGCUCUCCUGAUUUGAAAUGUUUUAAUGAAGCAUUUGAGAAUUAAAUGUGAACACGGUGCGAAUGGUCUAUUUUAAAUGCAUUCCACAAACAAGAGCUGAAAAGCCUAAAGAUGUAUCUAUAUGAAACAUUGAUUUCCUGAGAACAUAA
rnacentral:lncRNA from 1 species